rnacentral:rRNA from 1 species
UACAGAGGGCUCAAGCGUUGUUCGGAUUCAUUGGGCGUAAAGGGUGUGUAGGUGGCGCCGUAAGUCGGGUGUGAAAUUUCGGAGCUUAACUCCGAAACUGCAUUCGAUACUGCGGUGCUUGAGGACUGGAGAGGAGACUGGAAUUCAUGGUGUAGCAGUGAAAUGCGUAGAGAUCAUGAGGAAGACCAGUGGCGAAGGCGGGUCUCUGGACAGUUCCUGACACUGAGGCACGAAGGCCAGGGGAGCAAACGGG